rnacentral:lncRNA from 1 species
AGAAAAAGAAUAUUAAUCAGAUGCAACAAUUAGCAAAAUUUAUUAUUAUUAUUAUUAAGGGGAUCCGAUAUAAACAAAACAUCAAAAUCAACGAUUUCUUCUUUUUUUUUUAAUCAAAACAUGGCCCUCAAAAGGAGAUCUAUUUAUUUUAUUUUAUUUCGUACACGGAUCUAGCUCGAAAUGCCCCACGGUGGCGCCAAACUAUUUACCGUGUAAAUUAGAGAUCUUCUGAAGAUCCCUUAGAUCUAUACCACAAACUGAUUUUAAGAAAAGAUGAUAGAGAGUGGAGAAAAUCAAAUUCUGAUUUUAGGCCAAAUCUACUCAGAAAUAAGUAGAUCCGC